UAAUACGUAGGGGGCGAGCGUUGUCCGGAUUUACUGGGCGUAAAGGGCGCGUAGGCGGUCCGUUAAGCGUGAAGUGAAAUCUCCAGGGCUCAACCCGGAAAUUGCUUUGCGAACUGGCGGACUGGAGGAAGGCAGAGGUGAGUGGAAUUCCCGGUGUAGCGGUGACAUGCAUUGAUAUCGGGAGGAACACCCAUGGCGAAGGCAGCUCACUGGGCCUUUCCUGACGCUGAGGCGCGAAAGCGUGGGUAGCAAACAGA
rnacentral:rRNA from 1 species